GAUGAACGCUGGCGGCGUGCCUAAUACAUGCAAGUCGAGCGAACAGACGAGGAGCUUGCUCCUCUGACGUUAGCGGCGGACGGGUGAGUAACACGUGGAUAACCUACCUAUAAGACUGGGAUAACUUCGGGAAACCGGAGCUAAUACCGGAUAAUAUAUUGAACCGCAUGGUUCAAUAGUGAAAGACGGUUUUGCUGUCACUUAUAGAUGGAUCCGCGCCGCAUUAGCUAGUUGGUAAGGUAACGGCUUACCAAGGCAACGAUGCGUAGCCGACCUGAGAGGGUGAUCGGCCACACUGGAACUGAGACUCGGUCCAGACUCCUACGGGAGGCAGCAGUAGGGAAUCUUCCGCAAUGGGCGAAAGCUUGACGGAGCAACGCCGCGUGAGUGAUGAAGGUCUUCGGAUCGUAAAACUCUGUUAUUAGGGAAGAACAAAUGUGUAAGUAACUAUGCACGUCUUGACGGUACCUAAUCAGAAAGCCACGGCUAACUACGUG
rnacentral:rRNA from 1 species